UGGCUCAGGAUGAACGCUGGCGGCGUGCCUAAUACAUGCAAGUCGAGCGAACAGACGAGGAGCUUGCUCCUCUGACGUUAGCGGGCGGACGGGUGAGUAACACGUGGAUAACCUACCUAUAAGACUGGGAUAACUUCGGGAAACCGGAGCUAAUACCGGAUAAUAUAUUGAACCGCAUGGUUCAAUAGUGAAAGACGGUUUUGCUGUCACUUAUAGAUGGAUCCGCGCCGCAUUAGCUAGUUGGGAAGGUAACGGCUUACCAAGGCAACGAUGCGUAGCCGACUUGAGAGGGUGAUCGGCCACAUUGGAACUGAGACACGGUCCAAACUCCUACGGGAGGCAGCAGUAGGGAAUCUUCCCCAAUGGGCGAAAGCCUGACGGAGCAACGCCGCGUGAGUGAUGAAGGUUUUCGGAUCGUAAAACUCUGUUAUUAGGGAAGAACAAAUGUGUAAGUAACUAUGCACGUCUUGACGGUACCUAAUCAGAAAGCCACGGCUAACUACGUGCCAGCAGCCGCGGUAAUACGUAGGUGGCAAGCGUUAUCCGGAAUUAUUGGGCGUAAAGCGCGCGUAGGCGGUUUUUUAAGUCUGAUGUGAAAGCCCACGGCUCAACCGUGGAGGGUCAUUGGAAACUGGAAAACUUGAGUGCAGAAGAGGAAAGUGGAAUUC
rnacentral:rRNA from 1 species